GUUUAUUUCCAGAUUACCUAAGAUCAACCCCAGAUUUGGUUGGAUUCGUGUUGCCUAGUCUUAAGUUUUCUAUGUUGUGUUAUGUGUACUGUUAUUUGUCUGUUUGUCUUUUUUUUCAUUUUUAGCCAUGGCGUUGUUGGUUUAUUUUCGAUAUAUGAGUUUGACUGUCCCUCUGGUAUAUUUCGCCCCUCUUUUAAAGUAAUUAAUGUAAUCUGUACAGAUGAAGCUGUAGAAGUCGUCUUCCUAAAAGAAGCUAUGCACACUUUUAAAAACGUUUUUAAGUUAACAAUUCAUGCACAAUAUUGAUCGCCUGAUGCAAAUAGUCUAGCUUGAUUUAAAAGACUUUGCUUCACUCGAGAGUAUUUGAAUUUGAAUCUAAAGAAAAGGAAGGCAGGCACCAGUAAAUAGAUGCGGUUAACUUUCAUCAGUUAAGUCACAAAAUUUCAUGUAUCCACUACAGAACAAAUAACAUUGAUGUAUAGAUACAUGUGACAUUUUUUUCUCCAGGCACUACAGCUUCCUCCUCUGAUAGGCACUUCCCACCAUGAAAAGUACACUAGUGCCGAAACUGGCGUUAAAAACCAACCGAUUAAUCAAUCAAUCAAUGUGGACACCUAUUCGACACAGCAAGACUAAUUCAAUACUGAUUAUGUUUUGUUUCUUGGUUAGAAGACAAAGUUUACACAACUUUAUACUCCUAAAGAUUAUACUUUUUAUUACUUAUAUCCUCGAUAAAGUACACCGAGAAAAUACAACAAAC
rnacentral:lncRNA from 1 species